rnacentral:snoRNA from 14 species
AGUUUGUUUCAGAGAAGGAAACCAAGGGCGUAAUGUUGUUGUGACCAAAGGCUGGAGUUCUCCACAGGAUUCCAUUCCCUCCACAGGAUUCCAUUCCCUCCACAGUGCUAUUAUUUUCCUGAGGAGAUAAUGGG